CACCAAAAUACUUACAUUCUUAAACAAGAGCGCACACUCAGGAUCACUUAACAUAGAUUAGUCAUGCAUUAACUGUUCAGAGACCCUGAGUAUACACUCUUGCUUUGUAAAUUUAAAGCAUAUUGGUGGACAAGGAUGUGAGCAGGUAAGCCUUUGUGGGGGAAAGCCUUCCAAUCAGGACUGAAGUGAGGUGACCUCUGCCAUAGGUCCUUGGUCUGGGCAAGCCAGGUCACAAUUCUGAAAACUAUUACCAGAAGGCAGUAUCUGGGCCUACAUUCCUAAGCAGAGUGUUGUACUGAUCUUUCAAUGAUGUGUCUGAACUGCAGGUCGGGACUGGGAAUGGCAUGGUGGAGAUGCAACGCUUGGGGCAGAGAACUAAGGAUAUCUCUUUACCACAAAUUUAUAUUGGUUUUUAAGCCAGUUUAAAUGCAGUGGCUUCCCUCAAAGAAUCCUGGGAAUUAUGGUUUGGUCAGGAUGCUGAGAAUUCUGCAGCUCUCUAGGCUAGAUCUCUAGCCUUUUGCUGAUAUAUAGUUUCCAGGACAAGAGUUGUGCAGAAAAGGACAUUUCAGAAAGUACAGCUUCAUCCUAUGGAGCUGAGAAAAGCAGCACUUGCUGAAACAGCAUUUUUGACAAGGCUAUUAAUGGAACUGGAGCAGUUUGUCUGCUUGGUUCUGCCCCAAAUGAAUUAAAAUGUUGCCACCCCAACAAUAGCACAUUAGAUCAGCAAGAAUUGAACUCUCAUUUUCAUGUCUAAUGUCUACCACCUUUUAACUCUCCCCUCAUCUUACAACUGGGUCUGUGCUCUGGGCUAGUAGUGGAGGUCAGAAAGCUCUCCAUCAUGUCCUUUGGAAUGCCAGAGUUACUAAGUAAGCUAUCUCUUUGUAUAUCUUCCAAAAGUGCAGACAAUAGCUUCUCUCCCCAAGGGAUUACUGUAAGUGAUGAAGAUGCCCCUGGAAUUGUAGGCGCCUGGCUUACCUCUGUGGUUGGACCCGCACAAGAAAACUGUCACUCGCCCUCCAUUGCAUCUGGUCACCAAAGGACCAAGUUGGAUUCACCAGAAACAAGCUUAAAGGACUCAGAGAUCCUCUUGUCUGUACCCAACCCAGAAAGUACAUGCCAGAUGACUUCAACCGAAGUGUGAUUCUCUGCAGUGCCGAAGCUCACACUGAGGGUGCGCAUAAGCUGGUGGAAUUAUACAGCAAGAGACCUGUGGGCUGGGACCUUUCUAAAAGAAACGCACUGAUUGCUAGUAAAAUCGCCUCAGCCAGGACUGGUCCCCACAGGAUACCACAAGCGUCCAGACUUGUCCACCUCUUCUGGCCAUCAUAGAGGGGCCCCUGGAUUAGUUGACUCCCUCCUGCUGCUGCCAGCUGGGGUUCCUGGUGAUGUGAUUUUAUCCUGAUGCUCAGAAUCACAUUGCCAGGGAUUUCCAACAGUCAGCAAGCUGCUGCACCUGGAUGAAGGCUCUAUGAAUCUCAGGAGACCAGCCGAGGAUGGCAAGGAGUAACUGGUUAUGAACACAACGGGAGUAUGUCUGGGGUGUGUGGGCCAUGGUCUUUGCCAUCUCCAGAUUGCAAGGGGUAGGGCUUAGCUCACCUGUGAACAGCCUUCAGUUUAGCCAUGUUCACAGUGGCUAAGUUCCGCCUCUUGGAGUCCAUUCUCCCUGCACAGCUCUUGCCAUCAGAUACGCCGCACGGAGCAGAAGAGGAAGCCAAGAAGUGGUCCCCGGGACUGGAAAGGGAGCACGGAGGUCUGGUGUGUCGUGGGGCAGAGAGGGAAGCUACUGCCCCGAGCUCGCUCCGUAGGGCUGUGCGACGCUGCUUCCGGGCCCAGCCUCCCGUGCCUACUGAGCUGAAACUCAGUUGCUUUGGAUAAACUGGCUCAGUUCAGCAGGAACAGGAGUCCUGCCCAAGCUUCAUGAAGGCUCAACCGCUGACAAGUGCCCCUGAGGACGCAGACGCUGGACUCAAGUGGAUUUCAUUCCCCCUACCAUGGUGGAGCACAAUGCCCAGCUACACGUGUGCAGCAGCGGAAGACACUGUGACUGCCAGAGUCCCUCCACGACAAAAGACCUGCCUCAGGAGGGCAUGAGGAAGGCUCAGUGGAACCCCCCCAGUCCCCCCCCCAGACCCAUUUCACUGCUUGUUGGCGGCCCUUUUCAGACACUUGUGGGCACCAUCUCUCUGCGCUGCCCUUCGGGCUGUACCCGAUAUGAAUAAAACUCAUCCCAGA